UUGCUACUUUUCGAGCUGUUA
rnacentral:piRNA from 1 species